UCCACUAUAUCCUUUUUGAUCGCUCCUAACUAUUAUUUUAGAAUAUGUCAAGUAAUUAUGAGUCUAACAAUCCUCUCAAAGUACAUAAUAAAUAUGGUAGGCAUACUUAACCGUUAUAACUUCGGGGUUUGGUAAGAUAGGAUUGGAUCUGAUUAUAGCUUCAAGUACAGGUGCCAAACUGCAACUGGACGAUGAAGGAGGCUACAAUAAACUUUCUGGCAAAACUUGCCAACUCUGAGCCACUUGUUGGAAAUGCAGCUUGAAUGGGGGAUAUUUUAUUCAUCUUUUAAUCGAUCUCACCAAAUUCCCAGAGCCAACGGUACUACACGAAACACCAUUAACCAAUUUUGAGCAAUUGAGUCCUAUUCUGCUGGGAACAGUGGAAAAGAGGAGAAUCGAACAGUAAGAAGAAACGGGUUUCUCUGGGUUUUUAGGGUGGAAAUAUUGGGGGUUUUCUUUCUGCUUUGGCCGCCAUAUUAUUUGAAGCACCCAUUCAUGUAAAGGGACAAGCUAUGUGCUAAUAAUACUCGUUUGCCAAAAAAAAAAGAAAGUUGAAUCGUCUAUUUCUUUUCUGAUACCAGUAAUUGUCAAUUCUUCCUUCUAUCAUGAAUAUUCUUUUACCGAAUCCCAAGUUAUAGUCUGCCUGGAGUGAAGAUACCUGGUAUCAAAUAUGACUUUGGUCUGGUGGGAACAGGGCUGUGUGCACUGGAGAUGCCAACAUUAUCUAUGGAGUUUCGAAUAGUGCACUGUUUGGCCAAGCUGAGACAAAGCUCUGAUUCAUGGAAGCUCCAGGAAUUCAGCUAUUUAGGCCUAUUGACAAAAUUUCCCAUGUUUCUCUGGUAUGUCCUGCCAUUAAUUUCUUUUUCCUUGGAGGAGUUGGUGAAAUAUAUUUCCUUACAAUUGUAGAAUUUGACAUUAUCUUUGUGUCAUAUAUCAUAAGAAAGGCUACUGUUUGUUAGAUUUAUUGUUAACGGAGCGUAAAGUUAUUUGGAAUCUACAAGCAAAAAGCUUGGGAGAUCACCAGUAGAUUUAAUUUGGAAUCUACAAUCCUACUGAUUUUGAUUAAUUGAAAUCCAUAUCUCCAUAUUUAA